rnacentral:rRNA from 1 species
AUGAACGCUGGCGGCGUGCUUAACACAUGCAAGUCGAACGAUGAUGCCCAGCUUGCUGGGUGGAUUAGUGGCGAACGGGUGAGUAACACGUGAGUAACCUGCCCUUGACUCUGGGAUAAGCACUGGAAACGGUGUCUAAUACCGGAUACGACCUUCGGAGGCAUCUCCUGGGGGUGGAAAGAAUUUUGGUCAAGGAUGGACUCGCGGCCUAUCAGCUAGUUGGUGAGGUAAUGGCCCACCAAGGCGACGACGGGUAGCCG